rnacentral:rRNA from 1 species
GACGAACGCUGGCGGCGUGCCUAAUACAUGCAAGUUGAGCGCUGAAGGUUGGUACUUGUACCAACUGGAUGAGCAGCGAACGGGUGAGUAACGCGUGGGGAAUCUGCCUUUGAGCGGGGGACAACAUUUGGAAACGAAUGCUAAUACCGCAUAAAAACUUUAAACACAAGUUUUAAGUUUGAAAGAUGCAAUUGCAUCACUCAAAGAUGAUCCCGCGUUGUAUUAGCUAGUUGGUGAGGUAAAGGCUCACCAAGGCGAGGAUACAUAGCCGACCUGAGAGGGCGGUCGGCCGCAUUGGGACUGUGACACGCCCCAAACGCCUACGGGAGGCAGCAGUAGGGAAACUUCGGCAAUGGGUGAAAGUCUGAGCGAGCAACGCCGCGGGAGUGAAGAAGGAUGUCGGAUCGUAAAACUCUGUUGGUAGGGAAGAACGUUGGUGAGAGUGGAAAGCUCAUCAAGUGACGGUAACUACCCAGAAAGCGACGGCUAACUACGUG